CAAGUUAACCUUCAACCAAAAUAAAUAUAACCAAUUUCUCCCAGCGAUACAGAAAAUUCGACAUUAACUUCGGAAAUUUCUCACGUCCAUUACUCCUUCCUCUCCGCCGAAGCCGAAGUGUUGAUCGUUUUACCUUCUCCGACGAAGCCGAAGCGUUUCCAAAGAUGAUUAUUAAUCAUCGUUUACCCUUCUCCGUCGAAGCCGAAUCGUUACAGAGAUUUGCAAAGCUCAGUAUUUCUUCAGAAUUUCCGCUUUCAUCUCCACAAUUUUCAGAAUUUGGUUAUUCACAAAGUUUCAAGCUACAAGAGUUUAAAUAUUCCAACAGCAGCUGUAUCGGUUAUGAUUUCUUUCUUAAAUUAGAGUACACAAGUCUCUGGUGGAGCAAAAGAUCAUGAACUUCAGAUUAUCGGAUCUUAAAUAUUGUGACUCAGAACCGGAAGCUGAUGCCGAAUUUGAAUCUCGAUCAGCAGAGCACCAAAGUCUUGAAUGUGACUGUUCUUCAGAGGAUCGAUCCAUGAGCUUCAGCUUCUUAGCAUCCUUUUAAUUACUAAAUAAUGCACAAGUUGUUAUGAAUCUCAUCUGGCCCUUUCUUCCCCCUUAAUUGUUAUUUGGUUGUUUGUUUGCAUAUUAUGACUGGAUCAUAUUUAUUAGGAUGGAGUGCAACGGAGUACAUUCUUUUUGUUACAAAUAAAUGUUUAUUUUCCUUGCCUGCCUAUAUAGGGUUACAAAUGAUAAAAUUGCAUUCCUUGUAUUAUAAGUCAAUAUGUGUGUUUGGUUUAUCAUUAGUUCUGUGAUGAGGUGUCCCCUUAGUUUAACAGCACCUCAACUCAGGUAAGAUGAAAAUACCCUGAUAUCAGAUACCUUUGAUGUAAAGCUGCUUAUCAUUUUGGCAUCACUCCUAGACUUCUUUUUGUCCUGAAAGUUGCAUGAAAUUAUCUCCUUGAGUUUUAUUAUAUCACUUGUGUGAUAAUUCAAAUGAGUUGAUUGUUGAAUACAGUGCCUUGCUGCAUUCUAAACUAGCUUU